rnacentral:rRNA from 1 species
GGGCCCGCACAAGCGGUGGAGCAUGUGGUUUAAUUCGAUGAUACGCGAGGAACCUUACCAGGGCUUAAAUGUAGAACGACCGAUUUGGAAACAAGUCUUCUCUUUGAGCGGUCUACAAGGUGCUGCAUGGUUGUCGUCAGCUCGUGCCGUGAGGUGUCGGGUUAAGUCCCUUAACGAGCGCAACCCCUAUCUCUAGUUGCCAGCGGAUAAUGCCGGGGACUCUAGAGAAACUGCCCGUGCAAACGGUGAGGAAGGUGGGGAUGACGUCAAAUCAUCACGGCCCUUACGUCCUGGGCUACACACGUGCUACAAUGGUCGGUACAGAGGGCAGCUACCACGUGAGUGGAUGCAAAUCUCAAAAAGCUGUCUCAGUUCGGAUUGUUGUCUGCAACUCGACAACAUG